rnacentral:rRNA from 1 species
UACAGAGGGGGCAAGCGUUAUUCGGAAUUAUUGGGCGUAAAGGGCGCGUAGGCGGCGUGACAAGUCACUUGUGAAAUCUCCGGGCUUAACUCGGAACGGUCAAGUGAUACUGUCGUGCUAGAGUACAGAAGGGGCAACUGGAAUUCUCGGUGUAGCGGUGAAAUGCGUAGAUAUCGAGAGGAACACCUGCGGCGAAGGCGGGUUGCUGGGCUGAUACUGACGCUGAGGCGCGAAAGCUAGGGGAGCGAACGGGG